AGGCCUGAAAGGACUCGCUGAGCAUGACAAUCAAGUGGAAGAGGGUCUUGCAAUUGCACUUGUCCCUGAGGGGGGCCCUUGUCCUUGCCACCUUGGUUCUUGCUCAGGCUGCUGGGGCUGAGGCCUGAGGUCUGGGAUGGGGAGAGAGCCUUCAGUAUGUGGGCCGCCCUCCUGUCAGAACAGUGUUUGUCGUCUCCUGCUAUCUUACGAGAAGAGAGACAGAAGGAGAGAAGAGGGGCAGGAGGAGAGAAAACACAAGAAAGAGGAUGGAAGAUAAAGAGGAAGGUUUUUGAGACUAUGCAGAAGUUAUUCCAUGAGUUCCAAGCCCAGGUCAUGAAAGAUAACUUGUAAUAAAUCUGGCUACCCUGAAGCUGCCAUGCUUGAGAGACCACACGAGAUGGAGAGAGAUGCUUAGGAGUCCCAGCUGUCCAAGCCUCCAGCUAUGUGAAUCUUCCCAGCAGCAACUGCCAGACAUGUGGUACACCCAAAAUGACUUUGGGGCUACACUUGGAAUUGGCAAGGUUCCAGAAAACAGAGGGACUAUCAUCAGAGACAGCGCACAAAAAGUGGGAGAAAGGUCACCAGCCUCACUCAUGUUUAGGGCUAUUAUGAAUAAAGCUGCUAUGAACACUUGUUUACAAGUUCUUUGUGAGGACACAUGUUUUCAUUUAUCUUGGGAAAAUACCUAGAGAUGGAACUCUGGGACACAUGGUAAUAAAGUAUAUUGGCAUAAUGCAAGAGUCAAGAUGCAGAAAAUAACUACUGUGUGAUGUCUCUCUCCCAGCUUUAACCCGCCUGAAGGGCAGCACUGAGUUCAACACACUGUCCCACAAUUGUUGCACUCUCACACUGAAGUGAACAGAUUCUUUCUCCGUGCCGUGCAGCUCCCGGCAGAGGAUGAGGGAAGGGUACCAUCGGUGAUUCAGCACUGUGUUUCCUAUCCUCUUCAAUGACUCUUUCAGCGAUAUGAAGGUAAAACCAGACUUGAAAGCGUGUGUCAGAUCCCUUCACUAUAUCUUCAGACCUGCCCCAAGGAGUGAGGAAGGGCAACACCAAGAACUUCUCUCCAAGGACCAUAACCUGCGAACCCCAUCUCACCUCCUCCUGCCAGAUGGACACAGUCAUUGUCCUCCUGGCUGAUCCCAUGUCCAUGUCUUGCUCUGGCUACUUUCAUACACCCAUAAUGACAUUUUCCAUCUACUCAAUUUUUUAAAAGCUCAGCUCGAACCUCACGGAUUUUCCUGACAAUCUGCUUCUCUCAAUGGCCUUAAUUUAAGUGAGGGUUGUCAGUCUUACUGGGUCUCGUUUUUUGUCUUAAAUAAUAACUAUUUAUGGGUAUCAAGUGUCUCCUCAAUUUGGCUAUGAUCCUUCACGGCAGAAAUACUGUCUUAUCUUGUGAUCAUGGAGUCACAAGAUUUCAUGGCUAGGAAUAUUCGUCAAAUUAAUCCUAGAUUGAGGAUCAGGUAGUAUGUGGUCUGAUUCUAACUCAACAACUUGCAGAAACUCACUUCUUUUUUCUUUUUUUUUCCCCAGGAGGAGCUAUCGUAUUAACUGACGAAACUCACUUCAUUUCUUUGGACCUGCAAAAUGAGGAUGGGCUCUAAACCACCUCUAAAGUUAAUAUUCUAUGAUUCCAUGAUAAGGCUAUUUGUCAUUUAUAAAAAAAGGAACUUCCACAUAGCCCAGAGAAAGGAAAUGACUUUUUCAAGUUUACAGAGUCAAUUAAUGGACGAAAUGUAAUUUGAAAUUCAAUCUCCUGAUCCCCAGUCUAUUGGGAGUUCUUUCAGAAUGUCCCUUGACUGUCCCUCAAAGUGCCAGCAUGUAUGAAACCUUGUUAAGGAUGUAUGCUCAAUGAAAAUACACAAAUUGACUUAACAAGAAACUAAACUCUCCAGAAAGAUGCAGUUGACCCAAAACUCUGAAUAUCUUUUAUGUUUAAAACUUUCUUUUUUGAACAAAAUUGUACAGUUACUUCUCUAUUUCAACUCUUAAGCCUUUUAUGCCACGUCAAAGGUUAGCUCUCUUUUCUCUCUGUUAAUAAAGUCUUAUUCUUGACUUUGGAACUGUAUGCCAAGCUAAGGGGUCCUUUAUUGUUUAUUUAUUUUUUGAUUCUCUACUUUUGAUUCACACAUCUUUUCUACAAGAAAGACAAUUUAUAGCAGGGGCAUAUUACUUUCUUUGGGCCUCUGUGUCCUUAUCUAUAGCCAAAAGGUAUGGAAAUAAAUGUUUUCUAAAGGUCUUUCUGGCUCUAAGUUUAUUUGAUUUUUU
rnacentral:lncRNA from 10 species